UAAUUUAAAGUCUGACCUGCCCAAUGAUUAAUUUAAUGGCCGCGGUAUUUUGACCGUGCUAAGGUAGCAUAAUCAAUAGUUUUUUAAUUGAAAGCUGGAAUGAAGGGUUUGAUAAAAAAAUAACUGUCUCUAUUUAAUUUUAUUAGAAUUUUAUUUUUAAGUUAAAAAGCUUAAAUUUUAUUAAAAGACGAGAAGACCCUAUAGAGUUUUAUAAUUAUUUUUAUUUUUAUUUUUAGGAUUUAUUUUAUUAAUAAAAAUAAUUAUUAGGUUGGGGUGAUUGAAAAAUUUAAUAAACUUUUUUUAUAUAGAUACAUAUAUAAAUGAUUAAUUGAUCCAUAUUUAAUGAUUAUAAGAUAAAAUUACCUUAGGGAUAACAGCGUUAUUUUUUUUGAGAGUUCAAAUCGAAAAAAAAGAUUGCGACCUCGAUGUUGGAUUAAAAUUAAUUUUUGGUGUAGGAGCUAAAAAAUUAGGUCUGUUCGACCUUUAAAAUUUUACAU
rnacentral:rRNA from 1 species